UACGAGUGCCCCAAGCGUUAUCCGGAAUCACUGGGCGUAAAGAGUAUGUAGGUGGUUUGGUUAGUCCUUUGUUAAAGCUCCCGGCUUAACCGGGAAAAUGCAUUGGAAACGGCCAAACUAGAGGGUGCGAGAGGUGUACGGAACUCACGGUGUAGGGGUGAAAUCCGUUGAUAUCGUGGGGAACACCAAAAGCGAAGGCAGUACACUGGCGCAUUCCUGACACUGAGAUACGAAAGCGUGGGUAGCGAAUGGG
rnacentral:misc_RNA from 1 species